GUUGGGAUGAUGAAAAAAACACAAAUCAGUCGGAUUCACAUUGAUUUUUAUUAAUAUGAUCAUAUCAAACCAGCUACUUCUGACUUAC